AUACGGAGGGGGCUAGCGUUGUUCGGAAUUACUGGGCGUAAAGAGCACGUAGGCGGUAGAUCAAGUUAGGCGUGAAAGCCCUAGGCUUGACCUAGGAACUGCGCUUAUUACUGGUCAACUAGAGGCCGGGAGAGGGUGGUGGAAUUCCCAGUGUAGAGGUGAAAUUCGUAGAUAUUGGGAGGAACACCAGUGGCGAAGGCGGCCACCUGGACCGGUUCUGACGCUGAGGUGCGAAAGCGUGGGGAGCAAACAGGAUUAGAAACCCCAGUAGUCC
rnacentral:rRNA from 1 species